UACGUAGGGAGCGAGCGUUGUCCGGAUUCAUUGGGCGUAAAGAGCUCGUAGGCGGCUUGGUAAGUCGGAUGUGAAACCUCCAGGCUCAACCUGGAGUCGCCAUCCGAUACUGCCAUGGCUAGAGUCCGGUAGGGGCCCACGGAAUUCCUGGUGUAGCGGUGAAAUGCGCAGAUAUCAGGAGGAACACCGGUGGCGAAGGCGGUGGGCUGGGCCGGCACUGACGCUGAGGAGCGAAAGCGUGGGGAGCAAACAGG
rnacentral:rRNA from 1 species